rnacentral:rRNA from 1 species
GACGAACGCUGGCGGCGUGCCUAACACAUGCAAGUCGAACGGAGAUUUUAUUUAUGAAAUCUUAGUGGCGAACGGGUGGGUAACGCGUAGACAACCUGCCUUUUAGAUGGGGACAACACCGCGAAAGUGGUGCUAAUACCGAAUGUUGUAUUUUGGUCGCAUGAUUGAGAUACUAAAGAUGGCCUCUAUUUAUAAGCUAUCACUAAAAGAUGGGUCUGCGUCUGAUUAGCCAGUUGGUGAGGUAAUGGCUCACCAAGGCGACGAUCAGUAGCCGGUCUGAGAGGAUGAACGGCCACACUGGGACUGAGACACGGCCCAGACUCCUACGGGAGGCAGCAGUGGGGAAUCUUCCGCAAUGGACGAAAGUCUGACGGAGCAACGCCGCGUGAGUGAAGAAGGUUUUCGGAUCGUAAAACUAUGUUUUCAGGGACGAAUGUGCGAUGUGUAAAUAAUGCAUUGUAAUGACGGUACCUGAGUAGAAAGCCACGGCUAACUACGUGCCAGCAGCCGCGGUAA